rnacentral:rRNA from 1 species
ACCAGACUCCUACGGGAGGCAGCAGUGGGGAAUAUUGCACAAUGGGGGAAACCCUGAUGCAGCGACGCCGCGUGAGCGAUGAAGUAUUUCGGUAUGUAAAGCUCUAUCAGCAGGGAAGAAAAUGACGGUACCUGACUAAGAAGCCCCGGCUAACUACGUGCCAGCAGCCGCGGUAAUACGUAGGGGGCAAGCGUUAUCCGGAUUUACUGGGUGUAAAGGGAGCGUAGACGGCAGGGCAAGUCUGGAGUGAAAGGCAGGGGCCCAACCCCUGGACUGCUCUGGAAACUGUCCGGCUGGAGUGCAGGAGAGGUAAGUGGAAUUCCUAGUGUAGCGGUGAAAUGCGUAGAUAUUAGGAAGAACACCAGUGGCGAAGGCGGAUGACUGGACGGCAACUGACGGUGAGGCGCGAAAGCGUGGGGAGCAAACGGGAUUAGAUACCCGUGUA